AGUGAACGCUGGCGGUAGUCCUAACACAUGCACGUCAAACGGCAGCACUUUAUGUGCUUGCUCUUGCGGGUGGCUUUUGCCGGAUUGGUGAGGAUUACAUCGGAAUCUACUUUUUCGUGGAGGCUCACGUCGGGACCCUUCCGCUAAUACCGCAUACGACCUUCGGCUGAAAGCCCGGGCUCUUCGAACCUUGCUCGUUUCAAUGCGCCGAUGGCGUAUUAGUUAGGUGGCGGGGCAAAGGCCCACCAAGACGACGAUCCGUAGCUGGUCUGAGAGGAUGAUGAGGCAGAAUGGAACUGAGGCAAGGUGCAGAAUCCUGGGGGAGGCAGCAGUGGGGAAUAUUAGACAAUGGGCGCAAGCCAGAUCCAGCCAGAACGCGUGGGUGAAGAAGGCCUUCGGGUUGUAAAGCCAUUUUGUUGGGAAAGAAAAGCAGUAGGUUAAGACCCGGCUGUUCUGACGGUACACAAAGAAUAAGCACCGGCUAACUUCGUG
rnacentral:rRNA from 1 species